GAAGAUGUAGCUCAGUGGUUAGAGCACCUGCUUUGCAUGCAGAAGGUCCCAAACUCAAUCUGUAGCAUCUCCG